rnacentral:lncRNA from 15 species
AAAGUUAAUAAUUCAUCUCUCAUAUUAUAUUUAUCAUCAAAGCUAAAUGAAUUGGAAUCUUUAUUGACAUUUCAGGGCCCUUUCUGGUCGACUCUGUUCUGCUAUCAGAUCUCUUUGAUGUCUUCUUUGUUUUAAAUAUUUAGUGCACUGUUACUUCCUUGUCACUUGCUGGCUUAAAGACACCACCAUUAUGAGGUCAGUUAAGAGCACUCUCACCACACCCGAUCUUUAAAAAUCCUGCCAAGUGUACAAAUGAGGUUUUAUUAUUGACUUGUCAUCAUGGAGAACAGUAAGCGGGAAAAACCCUCAGGGAAAAACCUGAUGGGGCCGUUUCUACCCUGUUCAGAGUAUACCUUGUUUGAUGGCCAGAGAAACUGCCCCAGGCCUGCCUUAGGGAAUACUGAGAUUUUUGAAAGCACAGUUCUCGCCACACCCAGCCUUAAAGCACGACCAGCGAUGUGAUGCCCUCAGGGAGACCCAGGCACUCUGUUUAAGAAGUCGGCAAAACUAUAGAGAUCGAACUCAGAGGAUUCUGCCAUGUUCCUCCUCUGAACAGUGACUCCCUUUCGGAUGACCCUGCCACGAUGAGAGAUUUGUUUGUCAAAGAAAUUGGGGCGCAUAUCUGGAGCGCUCAGGAACAUUAUGCUCACAAAUAUCCAAGGACAAGACAGAGGCAGAGCACCAUCAACAAGUCCCACUCUUCUUUCCGUCAGGCUGCCCUCUCUCAGAGGAAUCCGAUCUCUGAAGGUCUUCACUGAGAUGUUUGGCUCUGAGCCACAGUAUCUGACACAAGAGACGGAGAGGACAGAGGGAGAGGGGUGGGGCUAGCCCAGUAAGAGAUGUGAUAGGGCCGGCAUAGUGUCAUUAUAGCUGCCCCUGCUCACGUCUGUCCGUUAAGACUACAGCCAGCAGCCAGUUAGCUUAGCUUAGGACAAAGACUGGAAACAUCAGGAAACAGCUAGCCUGGUUAUUUCUGAAGAUUAAAUCCGUCUACCAGCACCUCUGAAGCGAACUAAGUAACACACUAGACUUUUAUAUAAGCUCUUUAUUUAACUGAUACAAAAACCAAAGUGUAAGGAUGACAAUUUGUGGUAAUUGUUUGGCUGUGCACAGUGACUUCCAUAAUUAGUGAGCUUUAAGGGUGCUGGUAGGUGGAUUAUCUUCAAAUAGCUGUUAACCUCUGUUUCCAAUCUUUAUGCUAAGCUAAAAUAAUCUGCUGCUGGCUCUAACUUUAUACUUACAGACAGACAUGUGAUUGGCAUCGAUCCUCUCAUCUAACCUUGCAAAAAAAAAAAGCUUACAGUGAUCAAGGUAGAACAAGCCACAGCUGAAGGGUAAUUUUGUAUCUGAAAGUACCGGGUUUGAGCCUGUCACCCAUAGCUGACCCCAGGAUCCUGCCAUCUUUCGGACCAACUACUGACCCACUGAGCCCACAUCACCAACGCAUCACCACCGCCACAGUCACCCCUCCUCUGUAGCUUCAGC